rnacentral:rRNA from 1 species
ACGGAAGGCAGCAGUGGGGAAUAUUGCACGAUGGAGGAAACUCUGAUGCAGCGACGCCGCGUGAGUGAUGAAGUAUUUCGGUACGUAAAGCUCUAUCAGCAGGGAAGAUAAUGACGGUACCUGACUAAGAAGUCCCGGCUAACUACGUGCCAGCAGCCGCGGUAAUACGUAGGGGACAAGCGUUAUCCGGAUUUACUGGGUGUAAAGGGAGCGUAGGUGGUUUGGCAAGCCAGAAGUGAAAACCCGGGGCUCAACUCCGCGGAUUGCUUUUGGAACUGUUGAACUAGAGUGCAGGAGGGGUAAGUGGAAUUCCCAGUGUAGCGGUGAAAUGCGUAGAUAUUGGGAGGAACACCAGUGGCGAAGGCGACUUACUGGACUGAAACUGACGUUGAGGCUCGAAAGCGUGGGGAGCAAACAGGAUUAGAUACCCUGGUA